AGCUUUGUGCAGUGGCAGUAUCAUAGUCAAUGAGGUUUAUCUGAGGUGCGAUUAUUGCUAAUUGAAAACCAAACGAGUCAAAAUGCAAGGCAAUCACUAAUGCCAGAAAAAUCAGUAAGUUUCAUAUCAAGAAA